GACAGAGGCCCCGAGCGUUAGGCGGAAUCAUUGGGCUUAAAGCGUGUGUAGGCGGGCCCGUAAGUGUCUUGUGAAAUCCCACGGCUCAACCGUGGAACUGCUGGGCAUACUGCGGGUCUUGGGCCAAUUAGGGGCAGCCGGAACAAGCGGUGGAGCGGUGAAAUGCGUAGAUAUCGCUUGGAACGCCGAAGGUGAAAACAGGCUGCUGGGGUUGCGCCGACGCUGAGACACGAAAGCCAGGGGAGCAAACGGG
rnacentral:rRNA from 1 species